GGGUGACGCAGCAGAUUUCUGAUGAGUCAGUGGAGAUCGGAGCGCAUGCUGUAUAGAGAGACAGAGCGGCAGUUAGUUUUUCACAGACAGACUCAUAGUUUGAAUUCUGUUCAAAUGUUUCAGUAUUAUGACAAUGAUCUUGAUAACCAUUUUCUCGGUAAAGAGCUAUUUCUUUUUUCCUAUAGCGGUUUUUAUUUUGCUUUCUUAUAUCAUCCUUAUUACAAACGCAAUAAAAUAUUACAAAAAUUUGCAUUUCCUGCGAAAAUGCUGUGUGGAUGCUGUAAAGCUGAAGCUGUGUGCUGAAACUAGCUGAAAAAGCUGAAAAGUUGCAGAAAUUGUAAAAACUUUGCCGAAAUACUUAGAAGAAAUACAAUAACAUAGCAGAACUUCUCAGAAAUAUUGUAACAUAGCAGAGAUAACUUCUCAGAAAUACAAGAAGUUAGGGGAAAAGUAUAAGAUAACAGAAAUAAUAUAUUUAGCCAAAAAUACUUAAACAUUAUAGAAAUACUAUGAUUUAGAAAAAUACUACACCAUAGCAGAAAUACUGAGAUUUAGCAGAAAUACUGUGAUGUACCACAAACACUGUAAUUUAUAUUAUGUUUUUGCACAAAUACGAUAAUCUAGCAGAAAGUCUAUCAUUUGGCACAAAUACUCUGGUUUUGCUCAAAUAUAAAAACAUAGCAGAAACACCAUUAUAUAGCAGUAAUGCUAUAUUUUAAAACAAACAAACAAAUAAACACAUAAUUUAGUAGAAAUACUAUGAUUUAACAGAAUAGUAAUAACUUAAGUGGAAAUAUUGGAAAAGUAAAAUGACCAGCUGAAAAAUGACCAACAAUCUAAACUAAUUGUUGUUCACUUGUGAAAAGAAAAUAAAGAAAUAAAAAGAAAUUUAAAAAACAAAAACAAGAAAGAAAGAAAGAACAGUCAACAGAUACACAGAAUUGCAAAUAUGGACACAUAUGGAAACACACAUGCACAGAGGGACACACACACACAGGAUCUAUGCCAGUCAACUAGUCUGAAUAUAUUCAAUUUGAAUCCUACAAUGAGAUGCUACCAAAAACGGGUCUCUCUCUCUCUGUCACUCUCACACACACACAGCAGGAAGUGAACAGGGGCUGUUAAUCCAGUUGUAAAGUCUGACGUCACUAGCAGUGUCUGGGCUCAAACUCCGCUGCAGGUCCAUAUAUCAAACGAUCACUAUGGCAAUACUGAGAGUUGAAAAACUGUCUAAAGUCUUUCAUCUUUAAUAAAAUGAUCAGCGUUCUGCUCUACCAGGUGUAACAAUUGAGUUUAACAUCCAGGCAUCCAUGAAAACGGAAUUUAUGACAUUUAACGGAGUUAGAAGUUAGCAGGAAGUUAGCUUGCUAGCUUCUAUCUAAAUACAAUAUAGCAUGUCCUGAUUGCGGGUUUUGGAAACAAAUUAAAACGUACAGCUCUGUUAUCACUUCCAACAUAAAUGAAGACAGAAAACUAAACAGCAGUGAUGUUUGUAGGGUUACUGAAGUUUGGCUAGCUGGUAUAUAAUGAUGUGCUACGUGACCGCUAGCGACACAGCUAUGUUAGCAUAAUAUAAACAAGCUAACUUUUUUUCCACUCGAUAAAAGUUAACCUGGGUGUUCUCGGUGGUCAGGAACAAAUGUAAUCGCAUGGCAGGAUGCUGUAAAAGGACCAAACUUCAGCCAGGAGAACAACUCAGAUAAUCCAUCCACAAUACAAGGUUAGUAAUUCAUAUACUGCUGCAUGGGCUGGGCUGUAG
ensembl:lncRNA